AUGGUUCUCCAAAACGACAUUGAUCUGUUGAAUCCACCUGCGGAACUCGAGAAGAGGAAGCACAAACUCAAGCGUCUCGUUCAAUCUCCUAAUUCGUUCUUCAUGGAUGUCAAAUGCCAAGGAUGCUUCAACAUAACUACUGUGUUUAGUCACUCUCAAACAGUUGUGGUUUGCGGUAACUGCCAAACGGUUUUGUGCCAGCCAACAGGUGGCAAAGCAAGACUCACAGAGGGAUGCUCCUUCAGGAAGAAGGGAGAUUAG